rnacentral:lncRNA from 1 species
CCACAUUAGUGUCUGGUCGGGGACAUGUACCAUCAACAAAGCCAAUUUUAUUCUUAGCAGACAGGGCGACAAUCAUUUUAUCCUCCAACCACAUAACCACUACCCGAGAAGGGAGUGGAGACAAGAAAACCUCCAGGAAUAUCAGAGGAGUAAACGAAAAGAGGGCUGGUAGGGUCAACAGAGGAUGUAUUAACGCUCAUGUUAGAAGUCAUGAACAGCAAUGAGUUUGAAAUAAAAAAAAACAGUCUCGGUAAACAAUUUGGAAAACUAGAGUUGAAUCAAAACCACAGCAAUAAGUUUGAAAAAAAAAAACAAUCGCGGUAAACAAUUUGGAAAAUUAGAGUUGAAUCAAAACCACAUGCAAAGCAUAUAGCACCUAGAACAAGAAUAGAUUUACCCGUCUUUUUCGCGACCGGAGAAGAACGGCCUUCAACUGACAGAGAAAACCCUAACUCCGAACAGCAGAAACCCUAAAACUUGAAAACUUACCGGAAUCAGGUCGAGGACGUCGGAAAGUUAUCCAAAACGUCCACCCAGGUAAGAUCGAACCAUCAUAUAGCGGUAAAAAUUUCGAUUGGCUGCUCGAUA